GAUGAACGCUGGCGGCGUGCUUAACACAUGCAAGUCGAACGGAAAGGCCCUGCUUUUGUGGGGUGCUCGAGUGGCGAACGGGUGAGUAACACGUGAGUAACCUGCCCUGGACUUUGGGAUAACUUCAGGAAACUGGGGCUAAUACCGGAUAGGAGCUCCUGCAGCAUGGUGGGGGUUGGAAAGUUUCGGCGGUAGGGGAUGGACUCGCGGCUUACCAGCUUGUUGGUGGGGUAGUGGCUUACCAAGGCUUCGACGGGUAGCCGGCCUGAGAGGGUGACCGGCCACAUGAGGACUGAGGUACGGCCCAGUCUCCAACGGGAGGCAGCAGUGGGGAGUAUUGCACAGUGAGCGGAAGCGUGAUGCAGCGACGCCGCGUGCGGAAUGACGGCCUUCGGGUUAUGAACCGCUUUCGCCUGUGACGCAGCGUGAGUGACGGUAAUGGGUAAAGAAGCACCGGCUAACUACGUG
rnacentral:rRNA from 1 species